rnacentral:misc_RNA from 1 species
AAAAACUUUCCACGUGAACCGUAUCAACCCACUUAGUUGGGGGCCUGUCCUGGCGGCUGGCUGUCGAUGUCAAAGUUGACGGCUGCUGCUGUGUGUCGGGCCCUAUCAUGGAGAGCGUUUGGGUCCCUCUCGGGGGAACUGAGCCAGUAGCCCUUUUCUUUUAAACCCAUUCUUGAAUACUGAAUAUACUGUGGGGACGAAAGUCUCUGCUUUUAA